rnacentral:tRNA from 1 species
GCCCGCAUGGCUUAGUGGUAUAGCGUCGCUCUCGUACUACGACAAGCGAAGAUCGCUGGUUCGAUUCCGGCUGUGGGCA